AACGAACGCUGGCGGCAUGCCUAACACAUGCAAGUCGAACGAGACCUUCGGGUCUAGUGGCGCACGGGUGCGUAACGCGUGGGAACCUGCCCUUAGGUUCGGAAUAACUCCCCGAAAGGGGUGCUAAUACCGGAUAAUGUCUUCGGACCAAAGAUUUAUCGCCUUUGGAUGGGCCCGCGUUGGAUUAGCUAGUUGGUAGGGUAAAAGCCUACCAAGGCGACGAUCCAUAGCUGGUCUGAGAGGAUGAUCAGCCACACUGGGACUGAGACACGGCCCAGACUCCUCCGGGAGGCAGCAGUGGGGAAUAUUGGACAAUGGGCGAAAGCCUGAUCCAGCAAUGCCGCGUGAGUGAUGAAGGCCUUAGGGUUGUAAAGCUCUUUUAACCGGGAUGAUAAUGACAGUACCGGGAGAAUAAGCUCCGGCUAACUCCGUG
rnacentral:rRNA from 1 species